ensembl:lncRNA
CGGAACUUGAACCGUCGUCUCUCCCGGCAGCCACCGCGGCUCUUCCACUAACAACAUGGACGAAGAUGGAGGAACAGCAACACGUAUUCAACGACCUGCGAGAAGUCGAGUCUUUUAUAGAACAAAACGAAGCCGCCACCAUGACUAAGUUUGUGGUGUACGGGACACAUGCUUCGUUUUUUGAUAAUAGCUUUGCUAAUCCAACAUGCAGUGUGGCAACCGACGUCCAACACCCGUGUGUUCUGGGAGUGGAGUAGGGGGAGAGGGCACCCCGACCAUCGCCUUCACCGGCACCCCGUUCAUGUUCAUCGGGACGAAGGAGAUGGGAUGUCAUCUGGGGGAGAGACAUCUCCGAGAGCAAGAAGCGGAAGGAUAAACCCGACGUGUUGAAUGAUAACGCCGGUACCAGGAAACGAAGAAAGCGUAAGAGUGUGCAAGAUUGCAAAAAAAUCGGCUGUCCUGCAAUUCUGACCGUCACCAGAAUCGCAGCUUUCCCCCAGUUCAAGAUUGUGGACAAUAAGGACCGGACAAAGCGGGCGGCUUCAGCCCGGCUGAAACAGGCCCUGCAGAGAGACCCCGUGAUCUGGGAGAACGUUUACAUCAUCAAGACUCCGUCGCCAAGCGCCCACACGGGCCACGCCGUCAACGGGGAGCUCAUAUGGUCCAGGAAGACGUUUGUGAGGAAGGAAUGUUCUGAUCUCCUGAAACACCUCACGGAGAAGGUGCAUCUGGUGGAGGAGCAGAGGGGGCUGGAGCACAUCAAGAAAAAGCUGCUGGAUCUCAUGGACGACGUUCAGCCCAUGAUUCCACUCGAAGCUCGGAUUCCUCUGAGUGACGUUUGUGAGGGAGAGAAACGACUCAAAGGCUCGUCCUCCAAAGCAAAGACUGUGGGCGGCCUGAACACGAACUCAGUCAACUGUGGAAGCACUGAGGUCCACCUGCAGGGUAAAUGUCAAAUGGAAAGCACCAAUCCAGCCUGAACGAAGGACCAGCCAAUAGCCAUACCAGCAGCCUGGCUGCCCCUGCUGGCCUGCGACCCAAACACCAAAAACUAAAUCUAGAUCAUGAUCAGUGACACAUUAGGAAUAUCAAAUAUUGUACUUAUUUUAUCUGACUCAACUUAAUUUGUCAAUGAGGCAAAUUCAUUUUUUAUUUGUGUAUCCUAUAGACCGAGGAGGGACACAUUCCUGCCUCCCAACAUGGUUGGUUCAUGUUCUGAUUAUGUUUGAUGGAGGUGAAUCUAGUUGACGUCCUCCAUUUGAAUUCCACUCCCGGAGGUUUUCCUCAACAGCCGUUCUAGCCACUGUUCCAAUACAGUCAAUUUGGGAUUAGCCAUCGUAUGGCCCUGCGACUGAAGAUGCCUGGCUGAAUUAUUUAAUUUCAUUAGUGAAGGUCUAAAGGGUUGACUCAUUUCACACAGUAUUCCACCCGCUUGACCACUGCUAGACUUCCGCUCCAAGUUUAAGUGAAGCAAUAGAAGAAAAUAAUUUGAACGGAGCCACUGAGCUGAACAAUGCAUAGUAUAGCUUAUUGGGGAAAUGAUUGUGCUGUGUCAAAACAUCUCCCGUACUGCCAUUAUGCUGUAACAGUAAUAAAUUAGUUAUGUUCUUUGCACAUAAGUCCCCCUUCAUCUUGCUGUCAUCUUUGCCAAAUGAUCAUCUGACUAAUUGACUUGCCUUGAUGUAUAUACUCUAUUCAUACAAAUGUGCUACAUUGAAAAUAGUGGACAAAUAUGGGUUAAUAAUAAUUCAUAUUUUAUAAUAAAUAAAAUAAUCUUGCAAACAAAGGGAAAUUAGAACAAACAUAGAAUAUAUAUAUGUAGAGAGAGAUAAUACAAGCCACAUGGCCUUUCAGCAGUAUUUAGAUAAUCCUAAUGACCUAAUCAAACCAUGUAGAACACCAAUGAAGUCCUAUUGAUCCUACGCAAACAGUGUUUAUUUAAUUUCAAGCCCCAAAAUGUCCACAGUCUCGGUACCUAUUUGGUCGUCCACUUCCUCUGAACUCUGGUUGGCUUCCUCGUUUUGGUCAAUUGGACCGGAGAAGCUUUGAUUGGCUGUUAUGGGGAACUCAUGGCUUAACAAUGACGUUGUUGAAGACGUUACUGAGACUGGUACAG